rnacentral:rRNA from 1 species
GAGUUUGAUCCUGGCUCAGGAUGAACGCUGGCGGCGUGCUUAACACAUGCAAGUCGAACGAACCUUCGGGUUAGUGGCGGACGGGUGAGUAACGCGUGGGAAUCUGCCCUCAGGAGGGGGAUAACGGCUGGAAACGGCCGCUAAUACCCCAUAUGCCGAGAGGUGAAAUGAAUUUCGCCUGAGGAUGAGCCCGCGUCUGAUUAGCUAGUUGGUGAGGUAAGAGCUCACCAAGGCAUCGAUCAGCAGCUGGUCUGAGAGGAUGAUCAGCCACACUGGGACUGAGACACGGCCCAGACUCCUACGGGAGGCAGCAGUGGGGAAUUUUCCGCAAUGGGCGAAAGCCUGACGGAGCAACGCCGCGUGAGGGAUGAAGGCCUCUGGGCUGUAAACCUCUUUUCUCAAGGAAGAAGAUCUGACGGUACUUGAGGAAUAAGCCACGGCUAAUUCCGUGCCAGCAGCCGCGGUAAUACGGGAGUGGCAAGCGUUAUCCGGAAUUAUUGGGCGUAAAGCGUCCGCAGGCGGCCCUUCAAGUCUGCUGCUAAAAAGUGGAGCUUAACUCCAUCAUGGCAGUGGAAACUGUUGGGCUUGAGUGUGGUAGGGGCAGAGGGAAUUCCCGGUGUAGCGGUGAAAUGCGUAGAUAUCGGGAAGAACACCAGUGGCGAAGGCGCUCUGCUGGGCCAUAACUGACGCUCAUGGACGAAAGCCAGGGGAGCGAAAGGGAUUAGGUACCCCUGUAGUCCUGGCCGUAAACGAUGAACACUAGGUGUCGGGGGAAUCGACCCCCUCGGUGUCGUAGCCAACGCGUUAAGUGUUCCGCCUGGGGAGUACGCACGCAAGUGUGAAACUCAAAGGAAUUGACGGGGGCCCGCACAAGCGGUGGAGUAUGUGGUUUAAUUCGAUGCAACGCGAAGAACCUUACCAGGGUUUGACAUCCUGCGAACCUCUUGGAAACGAGAGGGUGCCUUCGGGAACGCAGUGACAGGUGGUGCAUGGCUGUCGUCAGCUCGUGUCGUGAGAUGUUGGGUUAAGUCCCGCAACGAGCGCAACCCACGUCUUUAGUUGCCAGCAUUUAGUUGGGCACUCUAGAGAGACCGCCGGUGAUAAACCGGAGGAAGGUGUGGAUGACGUCAAGUCAUCAUGCCCCUUACAUCCUGGGCUACACACGUACUACAAUGCUACGGACAAAGAGCAGCAAGUUCGCGAGGACAAGCAAAUCUCAUAAACCGUGGCUCAGUUCAGAUCGUAGGCUGCAACUCGCCUACGUGAAGGAGGAAUCGCUAGUAAUCGCAGGUCAGCAUACUGCGGUGAAUACGUUCCCGGGCCUUGUACACACCGCCCGUCACACCAUGGAAGUUGGCCACGCCCGAAGCCGUUACUCCAACCCUCGGGAGGAGGACGUCGAAGGUGGGGCUGAUGACUGGGGUGAAGUCGUAACAAGGUAACCGUA